UCCUCUUCCUGGCCAAUGCUAAUAAAGGGUGGGCUUGGCACGUAAACCAAUCAAAGACCCCCAAAGGGGCGGGUUUUCUUCGGCCUGGAUCCAGCCUUGGGGGGUAAAAAUAAAGUGUUUCCAUUUCCAGCCAAUCCCAGGAAAGGCAGGAGGGCACUCCUCCAAUGGGAACCUGGAGCCGUCGGUAGCGGUGGCGGCCAGCGACCCCGCAAUAGCUCCGGCAGGCGGGAGGGACGCGUCCAGUGCUUUCGCGAGGUCCUGCUGCCGGCCGCUGGAUCCUGGUCGAGCGAGGCAGCGGCGACGCCGACGGUCUGAAGUUCCCGGUCAGCGGGUUGCGGAGGAUCGUGCGGGUAGCAAAGGGAGGGCGAGUGCUCCUGCGGCCCCAGACGGCAACCAGGAUCUAAUUCAGGAUCCCACAUUGUAUUUGUCAUAUCUCCUUAGGCCCUUUCAAUCUGGGACAGUCCUUUUGUCUUUCAUGACUUUGGAAACUUUUGAAGAGUCCUGGCCAGAACACACAUCAUUGUUAGAAUCAUCACCCUGCAGCUAGCUUGGACACCAUUAAAAGGGCUCAUCAACUGCAAACGGAUAGAAGUAUCUGAUAUUCGUGAAGACAGAGUUUCAGGGCUUCUGCCUGGAGCUACACUCUCCAGAAGCCCCUGCUUGGCCUCUCUGCACCCAACCCCACCCCAACCAGUCACAGCUUGGGUCGUGUGUGGUGUUUCUUGGCAACUGGAACACAGACUCCUCCAGCAGCUCCACAGGCCCCUUGUCCUCACUGAGCAGAAGACUACAGAAGCUGGCUACUGAAGAAGCUGUCCAAGUCUUAGAGCUCCUCCUUGGCCCUGCUUAGCACACUUACCACAGAGCAGUAACCGAGUGCUGGCUGUUACUCAUUUGCGCUUACCACCUGCAGGGACUUCAGAGGGAUUUGUCAGACCCCAUUUCACCCUAAGGCCACUCCCUAAGAAUCUCCACAGGAGGCUACCCAUAGAGAGAGGUGGCUUGCCUAGGGUCUCCACUGCCUUAGGUCAUACGUGGACACUUCCAGGGCUAAGGGGAUUAAUAUCUUUUUGCCUACCUGUAACCCACAUAUCCAUUGGAAAAUUCCGCCUCCUGCUAUUUUCUGUUCUUUUAUUUGUUUUUUGGUAGGAAGAGUUUUAACUACUGCUUCAGUUCCUUUAAUAGUUGGAGGAUUAUUCAGGAUUUCUUUUUCUUCUUGCGUUAAUUUUGGUAAGUUAUAGUUUUCUAGGAAUUGGUCCAUUUUGUCUGUGUUCUCAAACUUGGCAUAAAGUUUCCUUGUUUUUUUGUUCUCUGUUCUAUCUGUAGUUAUGUCUCCUUUUUCAUUGCUGAUAUUGGU